UAAGAACCACCCUUCAGCGGGGAUAGCCCUUGGAAACGAGGGGUAAUACCGCAUACGACAGUGAGAGCGCAUGCUUUUGCUGGGAAAGGGUAGCGCAAGCUAUUCACUGAAGGAAGGCUUUGCGGCCUAUCAGGUAGUUGGUAGGGUAACGGCCUACCAAGCCAUAGACGGGUAGCUGGUCUGAGAGGAUGGUCAGCCACACUGGAACUGAGACACGGUCCAG
rnacentral:rRNA from 1 species